rnacentral:rRNA from 1 species
ACUUACAUGCCACAUCACCCUGCAGCCCAAGACUGGUUACUCCCUGAAUCUAAGUAUAGGGCUGAGCCUGGUCAGUACCUGGAUGGGAGGCCACAUGGGAAAAGUAGAUUGCUGUUGGAA